rnacentral:rRNA from 1 species
UACGUAGGGUGCAAGCGUUGUCCGGAAUUAUUGGGCGUAAAGAGCUCGUAGGCGGUUUGUCGCGUCGAAUGUGAAAUCCCGGGGCUCAACCCCGGGUCUGCAUUCGAUACGGGCAGACUAGAGUUCGGUAGGGGAGUCUGGAAUUCCUGGUGUAGCGGUGAAAUGCGCAGAUAUCAGGAGGAACACCGGUGGCGAAGGCGGUUCUCUGGGCCUUACCUGACGCUGAGGAGCGAAAGCGUGGGGAGCGAACAGG